rnacentral:rRNA from 1 species
GACGAACGCUGGCGGCGUGCUUAACACAUGCAAGUCGAACGGAAAGGCCCUGCUUUUGUGGGGUGCUCGAGUGGCGAACGGGUGAGUAACACGUGAGUAACCUGCCCUUGACUUUGGGAUAACUUCAGGAAGCUGGGGCUAAUACCGGAUAGGAGCUCCUGCUGCAUGGUGGGGGUUGGAAAGUUUCGGCGGUUGGGGAUGGACUCGCGGCUUAUCAGCUUGUUGGUGGGGUUGUGGCUUACCAAGGCUUUGACGGGUAGCCGGCCUGAGAGGGUGACCGGCCACAUUGGGACUGAGAUACGGCCCAGACUCCUACGGGAGGCAGCAGUGGGGAAUAUUGCACAAUGGGCGGAAGCCUGAUGCAGCAACGCCGCGUGCGGGAUGACGGCCUUCGGGUUGUAAACCGCUUUCGCCUGUGACGAAGCGUGAGUGACGGUAAUGGGUAAAGAAGCACCGGCUAACUACGUG